rnacentral:tRNA from 1 species
GCCACCAUGGUCUAGCGGUUAGGACGCUGGCCUUGUAAUCCUGGGGUCUCGGGUUCGAUUCCCGGCGGUGGCC